rnacentral:misc_RNA from 1 species
AACAUCGCGCACCUGCGGGAACCUGCGGAAGGAUCAUUAGUGAAAUAACCUGGGACUUUAUGUCCCAAACCAUCUCACAUCUACACACAUCUGUGCACUGUUGGACGGACUUGUAUUCCCAAAGUCCUUUCUUUUAAGGGCUUUGGUGUAUUUUCAAGUCAUGUCCUUUUAAUACAUAAACAUCUUAUGUAUGUAUGGCAAGUGAUGAAAAAAAAAAAGUUAAAACUUUCAACAAUGGAU